GCCCCGGUAUCCCAACCGGUAGAGGAAGCCGCCUUAAAAGCGGUCAAGUCUGGGUUCGAACCCCAGCCGGGGCA
rnacentral:tRNA from 3 species